UUGCAGGUAGUAGUAAAAGUUUAGGAAGAGAAAUUACACGAGUGAACUGGGGAGAGCCUUGAAGAAGUCUAAAGUUGGCUAAUGAGAAUUGCAAGAAUUCUUGUGUUUUAAAUAUUAGGUUACAUAAGUAGAUGCCUGUUUCAUUAAAUAAACUGUGUUAAUGUCCUGGGGAGAGUUCUCUGUAUGUUAGAGUUUUAGAUGACGUGGUGAAUAUUAACAGUUUCCCUUACUAGAGGUACCGCGUGAGUUUAAUAAUGGCUCAGUAUGUUCUUUGUGAUAGAGGAGGGUGUUUGACUCAAAUUCAGAAAUCUUCAUUUUAAAAAAAUUCUACAGUUCUUCAGCGAUGGGAAUGAAUAUUGUUAACAUUGGUGUGCCUGACUUGAAGUUCCUUUCUUAAAUAUCAAGAAUAGGAAGAAUCGAAAAGUCUUUCUUUUAGAAGAAUCCUUCCCCUCCCCUUUGCUGUUCAUAUUAAAAUUUCACUUUGAAUUUUAAAUCUUAUAUUACUUGGAAAUACUGGAGGGGGAGAUACUUCAUUUACACACCUAAAAGGUGGAGUCUCUAAGCUGUAUUUUAAGUUAGCUUUACCUAGAAUUAAUAAAAUAUUAAAAAACACUUGUGUUCAUUCCCAAAGAAUUAUGGUUUGUUAUUCAGUGAAUUAUUAUAUAAAUUUGAACACUUCAUAGCAAAAUGAAAUGAUUUUUUUAAUUAAAAAGUUUCUGUCUCUUAAGAUAGUAGUAAUUAUGUGUACUUUGUACACCCAAGGACUGAAUGAGUACAGUUUGCUAUUUGAAAAAUUGGAAUCGCCUUAGUCACAGGUCACUUUUUCCAGUAUCCAUUGUCAUUGUGAAGUGUUCUCUCUCCAAGGUGUGACCAGAGAGGAAAGGUGGUUUUGUUUCCUCAUGUGUCGUGGGUGUUAGAGCAGGCGAGCAGUGUUCUCCAGCACGUGGUGUGGCUGGGCCAGGGCCGUAGACACAGCUGGGAGUGCACAUCACUGGGCUGGGGAGACAUAUUUGUCCAUUUUAGCUCGGACGGUCGGGGAGGCCUCCCCGGGCAGGAGGUGGCUUCUGAGCUGAUGUGAGUGACAGGAGGAGGAGACUUGGAAAGUUGGACUUGAAGGCGAGCCCAGUUCAAGCUGUUGGCGUACCAUUUAGCAAGGAAGGGAUUGUGGCUGGGAAUGGAGUGAACCAGCCCAAAGAUGUUCUCAGCCCUCUUUUUUUUCCCAUUUUUGUCUGAUUGAGACCGCCAAGCCUCCCAUUCAGUGAAACUUCAGCACCACAAAUAGCUGUUUAUAUACUGUAUUUGUGCUUUACACAAAAAAAAAAGAGUUAAGAUUUUUGCCAUCUAACUCAUUUGCUCCCUCUUGGGGCCGUUCUGGCCCAUUGAGAACACAAGACUAGAGCAGCAUGUGCCAAGGCCACAAGGCUCACGUGAUGAAAGGAGAAGCUGUAGGAAAGGCUUGGGCUGGGCAGUGAUGCGACCCCGGGGACUUGACUGAAGGAGACCCCAGGGGGCAGGCAGACCUUUCAGACCAGUCCAGAGGGGUGGACGGUAGCUGGGCUUGGUCCACCAAGGCUAUUAAUGACCGGGAUACGGAAGAGGAGGGAGAGUAGAUGGGCACCGCAUUGAUGGUCAUAAAUAAAAGGUGUCUGUUUAAUGCUCAGGGCAGCUCGGGGCAGGUGCCCCCUGAGACACACAGGGAGGUUACCUAUGGGCCCCACUGAACUGUAGCCAGGAAACGGAAGGAGAAACUUGAGUCUGAUUUUCAACCUAGAUACCAUUUAAGUUUCCUAUUUUUCAGUCAUUUGGAUAUAGCUAGAUGAUCACACGCACACAAAUUUACAGUGGUCAAAACUCGAGUUAUUUCAUCUCGCUCCCUCCCUCCCUCCCUCCCUCCCUCCUUCCUUCCUUCCUUCCUUCCUUCCUUCCUUCCUUCCUUUCUAUAUUUGGCUGCGUUGGGUCUUUGUUGCUGCGCGCAGGCUCUUCUGUAUUUUGUGCCUUUGAUUCCAGACUGAUUUCUGGGGAGUCUGUUGAAACGCCUGCCUACUCUUUUUUGCUUUACUGCAGUAGGAGUGCUCAUGCAUUAGUAACGUGAACAGUUUCAGUUGAAUUCCAUUUUUUUCUGUUAGAAUUCAGUGAUUCUGAACCACCGUAUUGAGGGAUGCUGCUGUGAAUUCCCUAAGGCGUGGGGGCUCUCAUUGCACGUGCUCGCUGCAUUUUGUUGAAUCUGUGAACAGGCAGCUUUUCCAGGCUCACACUGGAGUUAAGUCAAAGUGAGAUUUUUUAAUAUCACACAGUUUUUUGUCAAAGCUGAGUGUUCUCGUAAGCUUUCGUGGUGACUGAAAGCGGGAAGUAGCAUAUAUGGUCUAAAAAAGGGAGUCGAGGGGGCUCUGAGGCACCCACACCACUUGGGAGGUCCUGUCUGUCUUUGAGGAGGGGGCUCGGGGUCCCCGGCCGAGCAGUGGGACAGGGGGCAGCCUCUGAGCUUUGCUGAGGCGGGUGUGUUGCAUGUUUAAAUGAUGUACAGUCACAAAAAGUUAAGUGAGAUUUAUGACUGUAUUUUAUGGGGGUUUUGUGCCUGGUUUGCACAGUCUUAGUAAUUUCUCAAACUCUGGUAAUCAGUAACCAGGACAUUCUGUGCAUUUUAAAUACAUGACAAGAUUUUGUUUUAAACUCUCCCUUCCGUUUUUAGACUUUUCAGUCCCUUUUUUUAGAUGAAAUGUUGGCAUCUUGUGUUCAGAACAAAGCAUUAAAAUGUUUAACCACCUCAGUGUAUUUUCAUGUAAAUACCAUUCAGGACACACUAACUCAGAAGCGGUUCCUAGCAAGGAGGGCUUGGUAGAAGGUGCCCAGGGCAAAAGAGCACCUGGCCUCCCCACUGACAUAGCGCAGCAGCUGUUUUCCACCCUGUAUUUAAGUACAUCUGAAUAGAUGAUCAGCUCACAACAAUUCACAUUAAACUUGUUUGGUGUUUGAGUAGUUUCUCCCCAGUACAACAUUGUGAUGUUAUUUACUGCAUAUGAACGCAUAAUGGAUUCUGCCAGUAAUGUUUUUCCUAGUUUGUUGAUUUACAUGGUAUCUUCAAAGUAAGUAACAGUAGAUGCUGUUUUUAAGUGGUUUUAAGUAUAUGUUGGAAAAAAAACUUAUUAUCAAAAAUCUGAUAAUUAUCACGUUAUCAUUUGGUAGUUCAUUCUAGUUCCUUUUCAUUAUAUAUGAACAUGGUUAAUUCGUGAAAUAACUACUGUGGGAUUCUUCGAUGUGGCAAUAAUUUACUUGGAAUAUUGAACUUUUACAGAAAACCGUGGACGCUGAACAUGUAAGUUCAUAAUGAUCAUGUCAUCUUGAACUAAAAAUGCAGUUUUUGUUGAUGUAGUUGAACUUGUUUUUAAAACUUAACCUCAUUAUGCGACCACAGAGGCAGGUUUUCUUUGAGAAAACCUUUUGGGUUUUGGGCACUUGAGAAAUCUUAGGUGAUCGCAAGAUGUUAACGCUGCUGGGUUUUCUCCUUUUGAACAGUUUUACUUUCUGUUUGUUUGUUUGUUUAACUAGAAAUGCCUUCGUAGGAAUUUGGGGACAAAAUUCAGUUUGAAAAUUUUCAGUGGUAUCUUUCACUUCCAAGGCCUUUUUUCUCUCAUCACAGUUGCCUUGCAGAUAUGGCAAAUAGAUACAGGUCCGGGCCUUUGAAACUGAGUUAAUGUUAACUUUUCUUAGAGGCACUAAUUAUGUUUCAUAAAAUUAUCAAUUUGUACUUUAUUAGAUUUUAUAUGAGUCUUUGCUGAACUUUAUGUUGAUAACUACAGUAAAUGUUAUGUAUGACCUUUGAGGAAAAAGAUGGCAUGUAGUAUCAGUAAAUUAUUCUCCUGAAAAUUUUAGUUGCCCUCAAUAAAGCUGAAUUUAUUUUAUUUUAUUUUUUUUGGCUGCACCGUGCAGCAUGUGGGAUCUUAUUUCCCUGACCAGGGAUUGAACCCGUGCCCCCAUGCAGUGGAAGCACAGAGUCUUAACCAUUGGACCAACAGUGAAAUCCCAAAGCUGAAGAAACUUUAAAAAUAAAUGUGCCUUGUGCCUAAAACAGAAAAAGUUUCACUCUUUGAUUUGUUUCUUCAGUAUUUUCCAGAUUUCAGUGUUACGUAAUAUUUAUCAGUGAUAGAUGAUUCUUACCUCUUUACUUGAACAUGACCUUAUCUUACAUACUUAUUUCUUUUUUUAAAAAAAUUAAUUUAUUUUUGGCUGCCUUGGGUCUUCAUUGCUGUGCAGGCUUUCUCUAGUUGCGGCGAGCGGUGGCUACUCUUUGUUGUGGUGCGCGGGCUUCUCAUUGCGGUGGCUUCUCUUGUUGCCGAGCACGGGCUCUAGGCUCGCGGGCUUCAGUAGUUGUGGCGCAUGGGCUUAGUUGCACUGCGGCACGUGGGAUCUUCCUGGACCAGGGCUCGAACCUGUGUCCCCUGCAUUGGCAGGCAGAUUCUUAACCACUGCUCCACCAGGGAAACCCUAUGUACUUAUUUCUUAAUUUUGAGUUGCUACGUGAACUUUAAAAUAAAUUCUUUUCUGAUUCUUUAAUUUAAAAUACUUAAAAUUUUGUUUUUUAAAAAUUUGGACUUGCCUGUUAUGCAAAAUUUGUGAGUUUUGUUUGGCAAAACAAACUGACAGCCUCAGUUUUCAUAAACUUUGGAACUUGUGUGCUCUUUUCCAGUCCAUCCAUUCUGUGUCAGAGGCAACAAUUUGUCUGUUUUGAUCAUAUGUUAGUUUUCAUUUCUGAACUUCAUACUAAUGGAAUCUUACAAGGUAUACACUUUUGCCUCUGGCCUUUUUCACUGGACAUAGUGUUUUUGAGAUUCACAUAUGUUGUUGCAUGUGUCUUAUUACGACUGAGUGAAUAUGCCACACUCUGUUGAGUCUCCUGUUGAUAUAUUCUUGGAGCAGUUUCCAGUUUGGGGUUAUUAAGAAUAAAUCUGCUAUGAACAUUCUUCUACAAAUCACACUUCUCAUUUUUCAUGGGGAAAAUAUCUAGGAGUGGAGUUGCUGAGUGUAGGGUAUGUGUUUGUUUCUUAGAAACAGCCAAGCAGUUUUCCAUAGUCAGCGCGGCCUCGUACCCCUCGAGCAGAGAUGGAUCCUUGCCAGCGUCAGUGUUGUCAGUCAUGUCAGUCUUCGCCAUUAUUGUGUGUGGAGGCAUAUCACUGUGGUUUAAUUUACAUUUCUCUGUACCUUCUGAUGUCGAACACCUUUUCAUAUACUUUUGGCCAUUCAGAGACCUUUUCUUGUGAAGUACAUUUGCCCUUCUCUUACUCACCAUGCUCUUAAUUGCUGUUUAUAACUAGGUUGUGUGGUUUCAUUACCGGCUGAUGUAAGACUCACCGAUCUAUGUAUAACCUAUGAUAUUUUUUUAAAAAGAUUAGGUAGCUUUAUUAGAAUUCUGAAAAGCCAGAUGAUAUUGGGAAUCCAAAAUUGAAUGUUCAUAUUAUGGAUUUUUGUAUAAUACCAGCUGAAAGACGGAAGUUAUUUAUUACAUAAUUGAACUUGUGAUAUCUGGCAACUUGUGAUAACUUGGGUGGAAAAUCCAUGGAUUUGAUAGAAAAUCAAAGCCUUAGUUUGUUAUUUUUAUUGCAGAUUUUCAACCCAAAAGAGUCAUGUGAAAAUUAAACAUGUUGAGAAAAUUUGUCAGCCUUCUAAUUAAUUAAGUCGAUUGGAAGUAUUUAUUUAUUUAUUUAUUUAUGGCUUGGGCCUUUGUUGCUGUGCGCGGCUUUCUCAAGUUGGGGCGAGCCGGGGCUACUCUUUGUUGUGGUGCGCAGGCUUCUCAUUGCGGUGGCUUCUCUUGUUGUGGAGCAUGGGCUCUAGGCACGCGGGCUUCAGUAGCUGUGGCUCGUGGGCUCCAGAGCUCAGGCUCAGUAGUUGUGGCGCACAUGGGCUUAGUUGCUCCGUGGCACGUGGGAUCUUCCUGGACCAGGGCUUGAACCUGUGCCUCCUGCAUUGGCAGGCGGAUUCUUAACCACUGCGCCACCAGGGAAGCUCCGAUAUUUUCUUAUUUGUUCAUCAGUUUAAGUUGUAUUACAUUGUAUUACAUCAAAAAGCAGGAAGAACUUGUAGUUGUAUUAGCACGGGUUUUACAGGUUUACAGCUUUCAUGGGUAUUUUUUCAAGUUUCCUUGGGAAAUGAUGACUUGAAUUUUUGAUGUAUUGUUCUCUUAGUCACAAACUAUCUCUCUAUAUUCUUUGUUGCUUAAAGAGAAUGUUAGGUAACAGAAAAGUAAACUUAUUCCAGUGCAAAGUAUACCGCAUAUUUUGGCUGUUGUGAAUUGCCUGUAGUAAUAGCAUUUGGUUUAUUUAUUACUUUAGCAGCCGCUAUUGUGGUCUGUGUCUUUGCCAUCAAGGCAGAGGGUCACAUUCAGUUGUGAACACUGUUGUGUGUUGAAAGAUCUCGGAUGGUGACAUUGAUCAUGUGGACGUCCCCUCCCCCAUACCUACAAAUUUCAGAACUUGUUUCUCAGAAGGAGGCCCUGCUGCAGAACAAGCUAAUAAAGAAUGUGGUUCCUUUAUGGUUCGAUAUCACGGGAGUCUGCUCCAGAGGAGAUCAUUACCUUUUAGGCUGAUUUCUGGCAAGGAGAAAAGAAAACAUGGAUGAAGCUACCUGAAAUUUGGUUUCCGGGGUGAACCGAAGUCGAGAGACAGGAAACGCUGGAGUCUCCCUUCAGCUGUGGUCCUGGGAGCCAGGAGCAUCAGCCUUUCCUGAGAGCUGCUCGCAAGGUGAGAAUCUCGGUACACGCGGGCUCAUCGAAUCAGACUGCCCAGUUUAACGUGGUUCCAGGGGAUGUGCGUCCACACUGAGUGAGAAGCACUGAUAGGUACCAUACCUUUGGGAAACGUCAUCUUUUCAAAGUAUCUGACGACUCAUGGGCACAAAAAUGUGACAGCUGUUUCUCACGCUAUUAUCCAGCUCUAGAAAAUUAACGUUGGGUCGUGGUUCUCAAAGCUGGUCCCUGGAUCCGCAUCACUGUCACCUGGAAACUUGUUGAAAAUGCAGAUUCCCAGCCCAGUAGCAAGGCUCUUCUGUACCAGGAGGGAGCAGUCAGGCCUGGAAAUCCCAGAUUUUGUUGGAAAGGAACACCGUCUGCAGCUUCCCUGCUUAGAGCACCGAGGAUGAGAGGAGAAGAAAAGGUCCGCGGAGGGUAGAGGCUUGUUUUCCCCUCAGCUCCACUGUGAAAACGCAGCUGUGUUCCCGUGACUGUAGAGCAGAACAGGCAGUGGAACCUCGUCAGACAGCCUGUGGGGAUGGCCGUCCGCAGUGAAAUCCUAUUAGAGAACACUUGGACGAAGGUCAUGUUUCUAUUCCUGCCGACCACGGUGAGUGGUAUCCAGCAGAGGAAUGGUCGUCCUUCGUCAGCUCUACUCGGACUGAGAAAUACUUGAUCCAUACGGAGAAUAUGACUCAACGGACCCUAAUCAAGUGCCUGGUGCUUGUUUCAUGGUAUCAGUAUAAUUGUUUCUCUUCAUUUCUUAAGAGCCACACACCCCUCAACAGACCAAGGUCAGUGUUUGUCAAACUUGAGUGCUUUCAGGUCACCCAAGAUCUCACCAAGGUGCUGGCUGAGAGUCCUGGUCUGGGUGAGGCUCUGAGAGGAGACCACACUCUGAGUCUCGAGGGUCAGGAAAAUCUACCAGGAUCUCACAUCUGAGGACGACAGGGCAUCUUUGGAAAAAACCGCUAGUGGAUGCAUACAUUGUGCACGUGCAAAAACAGCCAUACGUAACCCAGGACUGUCCAGCUGAACCGAAGCACUGGUGUGGAGGUAGGUGACCGGCCAGUUCACGGACUCAGCUCACCAGCUCAUGCCUGGCAGUGCAGACGGUCCACUUGGACUGUCAAGACCACAGUUCGCUAUCACUGAGAUGUUGUGAAUGGCUGGCUUUGAUUGGUAGAGCUGUAUUUUCUUCAACUAAAUUUCCAUUAACAAAUAGGUAUUUUUCAAACAGGUGGGUUGUUUUUUUUUAAAAUAAAACAAGCCAGAACCCCGUUUCCUACCUUUCCUCCACUCUGUAUACGGAGCACCCGUGUCCUGGAGGAGGGGCCAUGGCCAUGGUCUCUACCUACCAAGUAGCUGUUAAGCAGAAACUAGGAAGCAGAACUGAAGUUCUAUCUCUUGCUACUAAACUGUACUAUGGGACAAGACGUUUUCAUUUUUCUUUGUCUUUUUAAAAGGGCAAGACUAUUAGUGAUAAUAAAAUUCAGGGAAAAUAUUGAUUUUGGGCUUAUCAUCUUGAAAGCUAAAUUUUAAUGAAAGUCAAUUUUAAUAAAAACUAGUAUAAUUAUUAAGAGUCAACUUGCAUACUUCUAAAACAAGUGCUAACACGCUGCUGUGUGGACCCCUUGGGGUCGCCUGGGAUGGUGAGUAUCAGCUGCGUUUCUUUUUUUCUGCCAGAGCAGCAGUGCUGUUAACUAUUGUACAUAAUUAUUACACAUAAUGGAAUUUGUUAAGGUUUUAUUAAAAGAAUAAAGAGUUCUGCCUGAAAA